CCCACGCAAUCAUCCACGAUUCUCGCCCGACAGCUAGAGAACUCAUGAAGAACAAUGAAAGCCCAAACAAAUACAUGUGUUGAAAUACAUUGGUAGUACGAGAGGGUGAGUAUAAGCUAAGUAAAGUUAAGUAAACACUUACUGUACGCUAUACCCUCACAAUAUCGCCAAAACGAUAUUUUUACUAAACCAUUGCAAGUAUAUGCAAGUAAAUACAUGUGUGCAAUGUUUAGCCAAUAACUUGCGAUACCCACUAACUUAUAUGUAAUGUUAAACUUGGCAAAUUAUAUUGUUUUUCUACUUCCACCUUUAAAGCGCCAGUUUUUCCAGUCCAUGGUCAUGAGUAAAGUACUUUACUCAUGGGAUUUAUUGAUGACGCGAAACUUGCGCACCACGCCAUAUGAAAUGCCAUGCGCCGCCAGCCAAAUAAGUCAAAUCAGACGCUGCUGCUGCUCAUGGUGGCGCGGCUCGGCGUUUAUAACCUUACAUUUCCCAGUAGUUAGCGAGCGAAUUUUAAAGAUUAAAAAUACAACAGUUCAAAUCCAAAAACCAAAACGAGGAAAGCGAGGGGAAGGAGAUAAAAUAGCGUAAGCAUCACUAUUUAUCAUACAAUCUAAAAAACCAAUUACGCAGUUAUAUUAUGGUUAAACUGUUGCAAAAAUGUUAACAAUGGCGUAUUUUCCACAACAACAAAUUAUUCAGAAAAUUGAGAUUUUUGCAUAAAGUCUAUGCAUUUAAAAUUGGUUUAACCAUAUUUUCAUUUAACAAAAUUACAUGGAAAUGACAAACGUUGAAUUUACAUGGUCGUACAAAAUGCCUCAAUGUUAAUGACAUGAAUAGACAUGUGACAUUUUGCAAUCAACUGUUUACGACUAUAAAAGGUAAAACAAUAACAAUUGAAUAUUAAUUUUACACUAUAGUUUAUGAACACACAGCACUAGAAAAUGGACGGACAAGAAUUCAAAGAUUCAAUCAAAACUGUAUCGGAAAUGAUUGUUGAUUACAUAGAAAAAGUAUCAUUUAUGUAUGUAAUGUAAAUGUCACGCGGGAGACCGGGGUUCGAUUCCCCGCCGGAGAGGACUUUUUGUUAAUUGUUCAUCAACAACAUUUAUUUCCUUGUGUUUAUACUUAUUUAUUUAUGGCCCAUGAUGCAUGAAAAGCCUUGCAUCUAACUAAAAAGGCAAAUGUAUGCUUGGUAUGUACAUCAGCGCAUGCGCACCUCUUAUAUAAAUAAUAAUUUACCAAUGGGGAUGUUGACUAUUUUUGGGAAAGUGUUUUAAAUCGUGCAUAUGUACCUAAUAUGGUCCCAAAUAUUUUUUAUUAUUUUUUUAAAUACGAUUAAAGCCUAAAAAUUAUGCUUUUAAAA